rnacentral:rRNA from 1 species
CCCUUAGAUGUUCUGGGCCGCACGCGCGCUACACUGACAGGGCCAGCGAGUACAUCACCUUAACCGAGAGGUUUGGGUAAUCUUGUUAAACCCUGUCGUGCUGGGGAUAGAGCAUUGCAAUUAUUGCUCUUCAACGAGGAAUGCCUAGUAGGCACGAGUCAUCAGCUCGUGCCGAUUACGUCCCUGCCCUUUGUACACACCGCCCGUCGCUACUACCGAUUGAAUGGCUCAGUGAGGCCUUGGGAUUGGCUUAGGAGGGUUGGCAACGACCCCCCAGAGUCGAAAACUUGGUCAAACUCGGUCAUUUAGAGGAAGUAAAAGUCGUAACA